rnacentral:lncRNA from 1 species
CAGGGCCCAUUAAAAGAAUGUAGACCUAAUUAGUGUUCACUAAUUGACCUGGACCACUAAGGGUUCAUUCGAUUGAACCAGACCUAGGGAGAGUCCACUAAACUGAAGCGAACCCGAUGGUGGUCCACUAAACUAGGACAGACCCAGUGAGGGUCCACUAAAUUAAACUAGACCUUAUGUCCACUGAACUAGGCCGGACCUAGUGGGGGUCCACUGAAAUGGGUUAGGCCGUCGGGUUUUCCUCUUAGGCUGAGGCCCAAUUGGGGUAACCCUCUCGAGCUUUACCCAAAUCGACAAAGUUGAGAGCCUAGUCUGUAUAAUGUUUUUGGCUUGCGGGCAUGCGAAGUAGCCACACAGCUCAGCAUGUCGUGCAGGGAAUAAGCCCACGCAGUCGCACUUAGCAAGACAACGCUGCACACAUGCUAUGCAUGCUAAUAAUUCCUCUCGCGUGCAUAGGCUUCUUACCGUGCAAACACUCUAGGGACGUCGUGUGUACGCACACAUCUAGCAUGUGCACACACAUGUGCACACUCAUAGUAGGCCCCCUCGGUAUGCUGACACGCUUGGCAAGGCCUGUGCUCCCAUGCAUUACUACUGUGCAAAUGUAGUAGCUGGGGAUCGUGUCCCUCAUGCAUGGUUGAGACACAACCGCACUGCGUGACUCCUUCUCAGCACCUU